AGAUCUGUGGUGUAGAAAACAUUUUAAUUUGCAAAAUUAAAGAUGCUUAAGCCAGGUCC
rnacentral:tRNA from 1 species